GAUGAAGAACGCAGCGAAAUGCGAUAAGUAAUGUGAAUUGCAGAAUUCAGUGAAUCAUCGAAUCUUUGAACGCACAUUGCGCCCGCCAGCAUUCUGGCGGGCAUGCCUGUUCGAGCGUCAUUUCAACCCUCGAGCCCCCCCGGGGGCCUCGGUGUUGGGGGACGGCACACCAGCCGCCCCCGAAAUGCAGUGGCGACCCCGCCGCAGCCUCCCCUGCGUAGUAGCACACACCUCUCACCGGAGCGCGGAGGCGGUCACGCCGUAAAACGCCCAACUUUCUUAGAGUUGACCUCGGAUCAGGUAGGAAUACCCGCUGAACUUAAGCAUAUCAAUAAGCGGAGGA
rnacentral:misc_RNA from 1 species